AGAAAGAAAGUUAUACGCAUAUAAAAUUUUCUUUACGAAAAUUAAUGGAAACAUGUUGUCGUUGUGGUGGCGAACCCUAGUUUAGUCUGUGCGAUAUAAAAGGUUGGCCUAGAGUAGUGGGUCGUUGCGCCUCCUCCAUCGUGCUAUACAUAAAAUUUCUCUCAGGCGAAACUCUCCUUUGGAUCUGUGAUAGAUGGUGAACAAGAUGACGACUUUCAAGAAGAUGAGUGCGAUUCCAACUAAAAAAGAUUUUGUUGAUGCGGUCGUUGCUCUUCAGAAACGAGCCCUCCAGGCUCCCACUUUUGAGGUGGACUUUUUUAAUAAUGGGCCGUGAAACUAAAGAAGAGCCCAUAGAGCCCACCUGUGCACAAACGACGUCGUCCAAGCGUCAACGGUUGUCUCCUUCAAAUCCAAAUAACGACAAGCAAAACAAGAACAGAGUUGCAGAAAUGACGAAAGCUGGUACGGAGGUGAUCAAGCUGAGUAAUCAAUUCUCUGCCCUUGAUUCAUUGGAUGCAAUAGGAUGAAGACACCUGUCCUGGUCUUCUAGGGUUUUCAAGCUUUUAUCUUUGUGUAUAAAUACACAUUUAUCACCAUUGUAAAACCCUAACAGUUAUCGAAAUGAAAGAUUAAAAGUUCAU